rnacentral:rRNA from 1 species
GAUGAACGCUGGCGGUAUGCUUAACACAUGCAAGUCGAACGGACUCUUCGGAGUUAGUGGCGGACGGGUGAGUAACGCGUGAGAAUCUGGCUUUGGGUUCGGGACAACCACUGGAAACGGUGGCUAAUACCGGAUGUGCUGAGAGGUAAAAGAGAAAUUGCCUGAAGAUGAGCUCGCGUCUGAUUAGCUAGUUGGUGAGGUAAAGGCUCACCAAGGCAGCGAUCAGUAGCUGGUCUGAGAGGAUGACCAGCCACACUGGGACUGAGACACGGCCCAGACUCCUACGGGAGGCAGAAGUGGGGAAUUUGCCGAAAUGGGCGAAAGCCUGACGGAGCAAUACCGCGUGAGGGAAGAAGGCUCUUGGGUUGUAAACCUCUUUUCUUAGGGAAGAACAAAAUGACGGUACCUAAGGAAUCAGCAUCGGCUAACUCCGUG